rnacentral:rRNA from 1 species
GUGCCAGCCGCCGCGGUAAUACGUAGGGGGCUAGCGUUAUCCGGAUUUACUGGGCGUAAAGGGUGCGUAGGUGGUUUCUUAAGUCAGGAGUGAAAGGCUACGGCUCAACCGUAGUAAGCUCUUGAAACUGGGAAACUUGAGUGCAGGAGAGGAAAGUGGAAUUCCUAGUGUAGCGGUGAAAUGCGUAGAUAUUAGGAGGAACACCAGUAGCGAAGGCGGCUUUCUGGACUGUAACUGACACUGAGGCACGAAAGCGUGGGGAGCAAACAGGAUUAGAUACCCUGGUAGUCCACGCCGUAAACGAUGAGUACUAGGUGUCGGGGGUUACCCCCCUCGGUGCCGCAGCUAACGCAUUAAGUACUCCGCCUGGGGAGUACGCUCGCAAGAGUGAAACUCAAAUGAAUUGACGG